UACGUAGGGUGCGAGCGUUAAUCGGAAUUACUGGGCGUAAAGCGUGCGCAGGCGGUUUUGUAAGCCAGAUGUGAAAUCCCCGGGCUUAACCUGGGAAUGGCAUUUGGGACUGCAAGGCUUGAGUGCGGCAGAGGAGACUGGAAUUCCUGGUGUAGCAGUGAAAUGCGUAGACAUCAGGAGGAACACCGAUGGCGAAGGCAGGUCUCUGGGCCGUUACUGACGCUGAGGAGCGAAAGCGUGGGGAGCGAACAGG
rnacentral:rRNA from 1 species